rnacentral:rRNA from 1 species
GAUGAACGCUGGCGGCGUGCUUAACACAUGCAAGUCGAGCGGAGUUUGUUUGCAGCUUGCUGCAAACAUUCUUAGCGGCGGACGGGUGAGUAACGCGUGGGUAACCUGCCUUACACUGGGGGAUAACAUAGUGAAAACUAUGCUAAUACCGCAUAAGACCACGGAGUCACAUGACUCUGAGGUAAAAACUCCGGUGGUGUAAGAUGGACCCGCGUCUGAUUAGCUAGUAGGUGAGGUAACGGCUCACCUAGGCGACGAUCAGUAGCCAACCUGAGAGGGUGAUCGGCCACAUUAGGACUGAGACACGGCCCAAACUCCUACGGGAGGCAGCAGUGGGGAAUAUUGCACAAUGGAGGAAACUCUGAUGCAGCGACGCCGCGUGAAGGAAGAAGGUUUUCGGAUCGUAAACUUCUAUCAGCAGGGACGAUAAUGACGGUACCUGACUAAGAAGCCCCGGCUAACUACGUGCCAGCCGCCGCAGUAACAC